rnacentral:tRNA from 1 species
UGGUGCCCCCGGCAGGAUUCGAACCUGCGACACCCGCUUUAGGAGAGCGGUGCUCUAUCCCCUGAGCUACGAAGGC